rnacentral:rRNA from 1 species
AGUUUUUUUUCCUGUUAUUAUAUACAAUAAGCGUGAGGAAUAGAAACCAACAGGGAUUGCCUUAGUAGCGGCGAGUGAAGCGGCAAAAGCUCAAAUUUGAAAUCUGGCUCUUUCAGAGUCCGAGUUGUAAUUUGAAGAAGGUAUCUUUGGGUCUGGCUCUUGUCUAUGUUUCUUGGAACAGAACGUCACAGAGGGUGAGAAUCCCGUGCGAUGAGAUGAAUCCAGGCCUAUGUAAAGUUCCUUCGAAGAGUCGAGUUGUUUGGGAAUGCAGCUCUAAGUGGGUGGUAAAUUCCAUCUAAAGCUAAAUAUUGGCGAGAGACCGAUAGCGAACAAGUACAGUGAUGGAAAGAUGAAAAGAACUUUGAAAAGAGAGUGAAAAAGUACGUGAAAUUGUUGAAAGGGAAGGGCUUGAGAUCAGACUUGUGGUAUUUUGUAUGUUACUUCUUCGGGGGUGGCCUCUACAGUUUAUCGGGCCAGCAUCAGUUUGGGCGGUAGGAGAAUUGCGUUGGAAUGUGGCACGGCUUCGGUUGUGUGUUAUAGCCUUCGUCGAUACUGCCAGCCUAGACUGAGGACUGCGGUUUAUACCUAGGAUGUUGGCAUAAUUAUGCUAAUCGUGGGAAAAAAAUAAAAAAAAAAAGGGG